UCCCUGGUGGGUCAGAGGUUAAAGCGUCUGCCUGGAAUGCAGGAGACCCAGGUUCGAUCCCUGGGUCGGGAA
rnacentral:tRNA from 1 species